UAUAUACUCCCUUCGUCCCGAAUUACUUGUCUUAGAUUUGCCUAGAUAUGGAUGUAUCUAAACGUGUCUAGAUACAUCCAUAUCUAGACAAAUCUAAGACAAGUAAUUUGGGACAAAGGUAAUAGAAA
rnacentral:pre_miRNA from 1 species